UACGAAGGUGGCAAGCGUUGUUCGGAUUUACUGGGCGUACAGGGCGCGUAGGCGGCCUGUUAAGUCGAACGUGAAAUCCCCGGGCUCAACCCGGGAACUGCGUCCGAUACUGGCAGGCUUGAAUUCGGGAGAGGGAUGUGGAAUUCCAGGUGUAGCGGUGAAAUGCGUAGAUAUCUGGAGGAACACCGGUGGCGAAGGCGGCAUCCUGGACCGAUAUUGACGCUGAUGCGCGAAAGCCAGGGGAGCAAACGGG
rnacentral:rRNA from 1 species